GGGAUGGAGGUCUCCUUGGAAAGGAAAAGUUACAGGUGGAGAGUUGAUCACUGAAGGAGAAGAUGAAUUAUAUCAUCUCGGAAUCAGAGUCAGAGAAAGAUUUCCAGACCUUUUCAAUGAAGAAUACCACCCAGAUGUAUAUUCAAUCAAGACUACCCAGGUUCCUCGGGCAUCAGCUAGCGCUGUGGCAUUUGGCAUGGGUCU
rnacentral:misc_RNA from 1 species